rnacentral:rRNA from 1 species
CGGAGUAUUCAGCAAUGAAUACUUAGUGGCAAACGGGUGAGUAACGCGUAGACAACCUACCUCUAAGAUGGGGACAACACCGCGAAAGUGGUGCUAAUACCGAAUGUGGUAUCUCAGUUGCAUAACAGAGAUAAGAAAGGUGGCCUCUAUAUAUAAGCUACCGUUUAGAGAUGGGUCUGCGUCUGAUUAGCUAGUUGGCGGGGUAAAGGCCCACCAAGGCGACGAUCAGUAGCCGGUCUGAGAGGAUGAACGGCCACACUGGGACUGAGACACGGCCCAGACUCCUACGGGAGGCAGCAGUGGGGAAUCUUCCGCAAUGGACGAAAGUCUGACGGAGCAACGCCGCGUGAGUGAAGAAGGUCUUCGGAUUGUAAAGCUCUGUCGUUUGGGACGAAUGUGACCUAGGUAAAUAAUCUAGGUUAAUGACGGUACCAAAGGAGGAAGCCACGGCUAACUACGUGCCAGCAGCCGCGGUAAUACGUAGGUGGCAAGCGUUGUCCGGAAUUAUUGGGCGUAAAGGGCGUGUAGGUGGGGAAAUAAGUCUUGAGUCUAAGUGCGGUGCUUAACGCCGUAUAGGCGCAGGAAACUGUUUUUCUUGAGUGCAGGAGAGGAAAGUGGAAUUCCCGGAGUAGCGGUGAAAUGCGUAGAUAUCGGGAGG